GAAAGUAAAAGUCGUAACAAGGUUUCCGUAGGUGAACCUGCGGAAGGAUCAUUACUGAGUGAGGGCCCCUCGGGGUCCAACCUCCCACCCGUGUUUAACGAACCUUGUUGCUUCGGCGGGCCCGCCUCACGGCCGCCGGGGGGCAUUUGCCCCCGGGCCCGCGCCCGCCGAAGCCACCUGUGAACGCUGUCUGAAGUAUGCAGUCUGAGACAAUUAUUAAAUUAAUUAAAACUUUCAACAACGGAUCUCUUGGUUCCG
rnacentral:misc_RNA from 1 species